rnacentral:rRNA from 1 species
UGAGGAAUAUUGGGCAAUGCCCGCAAGGGUGACCCAGCAACGCCGCGUGGAGGAUGAAUGUCGUAAGAUUGUAAACUCCUGUUAGAGGGGAAGAAUAGUACCGGUUGGACCGGUAUAUGACUGUACCCUCAGAGAAAGCCCCGGCUAACUACGUGCCAGCAGCCGCGGUAAUACGUAGGGGGCAAGCGUUGUCCGGAUUUACUGGGUGUAAAGGGCGCGCAGGCGGGAUAAAAAGUCAGUGGUGAAAUCCUACAGCUUAACUGUAGAACUGCCUUUGAUACUUUUAUUCUUGAGCUCGGGAGAGAGAGACGGAAUUCCAGGUGUAGUGGUGAAAUACGUAGAUAUCUGGAAGAACACCAGUUGCGAAGGCGGUCUCUUGGUCCGACACUGACGCUGAGGCGCGAAAGCGCGGGGAGCAAAC